rnacentral:lncRNA from 1 species
ACUCCCAUCUUGAUCAAGUGUUGAUAAAACUGAGAAGAGUUCAGUGAGUUUGUCAAAAUGUCAGCAACCUGAGAACUGCUACUAAGAUGUUUAGCUAUUAGGCUUCCUUCCUGAAUUUUGUCCCUUAUCAAAUGGCAAUCCAACUCAAUGUGUUUAGUUCUUUCAUGGACGACUGGGUUGCACUCUAUGUGGAGAGCAGAUUUGUUGUCACAGAUAGGUCAGCAGCCUGUGGGUGUUUGAUUUUUAUAUCUUGAAACAAGUACCUAAGCCAAGUGAGUUCACAGCAUACAUUUGCCAUUGCCCUAUAUUUUGAUUUUGCUGAAGACCUAGAUAUUGUGCUAUGUUUCUUUGAUUUCCAAGAUAUCAAGGAUCUUCUAAGCGUCACGCAAUAUCAUGUUACACUCUUUCGUGUGUCUGGACAAGCUCCCUAGUUUGAAUCGUUGUAAGCAUUGAGCUGUAAAUCUAAAUCAACAGGAAAUAGCAAUCCUUGUCCUGGAGCUCUUUUUAUGUACUUCAGCACUUUAUUAGCAGCACUCAGAUGGGAAGUACGAGGGGAACUCAUGAAUUGGCUUAAUAAUUAUACUGAGUAUGAAAGAUUUAGUCUGGUAAUGGUUAAGUACAACAGUCUCCCAACAAGUCUUCUAUACAUAUUGAGAUCAAGGAGAAGUUCUCCAUCCGUCUUUGAAAUUCUAGCAUUCUGAUCCAAUGGUAUCUUUGUUGGCACACAUCAUAUUAUCCCCGAGUCUGAUAAUAUGUCCAAAGCAUACUUUCGUUGGCAAAUAUGAAUUCCUAUAUCAAACCUUGCCACUUUUAUUCCCAAAAAAUAUUUCAAUGUCCCCAAAUCUUUGAUCUUGAAUCUUCUAUCAAGUAGGGCUUUGAGAGAGCUAAUGUUGUUCAGAUCAUUGCUAGCCAAAAUUACGUCAUCUACAUAGAUGAGAAUGGCAAUGAAAGAACUCUCAAUGAACCUUGUAAAUAGGCUGUAAUCAGCUUUAGAUUGUGUGAAUCCUUUUUCAAUAAUGAAGGUUGAAAGCUUCGAUUACCAUUGUCGGGAUGCUUGUUUGAGUCCAUACAAGCUCUUCAAAAGGCUCAAACAAGCUUUUCAAGAAACUGCAUACUUUUGAAUUCCCUGAAUCGGGAUGUCGAGGAGGCAUCUCCAUGUACACUUCUUCAUCCAGAUCCC